UGGCCCACCAGGGCAUAUAUUGGAACACGGGCCUCGACUGUUUACCAAAAACAUAGCCCUCGGCCAAUAUGAAAAUAGAAGUAUGGAGGGUGAGGCCUGCCCAAUGGUUGUAUCUAAAAGCGGUGGAUAAAAGUCGACCGCGUAAGGACAAUUGAAUGGCCGCGGUACUACUGACCGUGAUAAUGUAGCGUAAUCAAUAGCCAAUUAAUUGUUGGCCAGUAUGAAUGGCGCCACGAAGGCCCCACUGUCUUAAGGAAAUUCCCAGUGAAAUUGAAUUCGUAGUGAAGAUGCUACGUCCAAUUUGUUAGACGAAAAGACCCCGUUGAGCUUUACUGGGGCACUUACACGGCCGAAUUGAAAUGGGCGGCUUAGACUAUGUGGCAGCCCCCCGUCGGGGCAGAUGAAACCCCACUCCCCCAUGUCAAAGGGGCUAACCCCCCCUCGGGGGGGGACAGUGUAAGUAGGACAGUUUGGUUGGGGCGACCGCCUUUUAGAGAGUAACGAAGGUGCGCUUAAGGUGCGCAAUUAAUGACUGAAGCCUGACUGCGAGGGGGACACCCCGAGCAGACACCCCCCAGCCCGCGAGGGCGGGGGUGGGCCAUAGUGACCCGUUAAUUUAGAGUGGAAUAGUUAACGAUCAACG
rnacentral:rRNA from 1 species